rfam:Streptomyces aureofaciens strain ATCC 10762 contig_15, whole genome shotgun sequence.
CGGACGGUGUACGGCCAGCUGCCGUCCUCCUCCUGGAGCGCCUCGUCGCCCAGAUGGUCGCCGUCGGCCAGGGUGCCGACCACCGUCUCCUCGCCGUACUUGCCGGUGCCGAGCCGCUCGAGCUUGCCGUGCGCGAUCAGGAAGACCUCGCUGAUCGGCGUGCCGGCGGUGACCAGGACGUCGCCCGCCUGGAACUGCCGCUGGACGAAGCGGCCGGCCAGCUCCUCCAGCACCGCCUCGUCCUCGUAACCGCGCAGCACCGGCACCUCGGCCAGCGUCUGCGGGACGAUCCGCACCUCGGAACCCGUCUUGACGAAACUCACCCGGCCGCGGCCGACCUUGUGGCGCAGGCGGCGGUUGACCCGGUAGGUGCCGCCGGAGACCUGCACCCAGGGCAGCGUCCUGAGCAGCCAGCGCGGGCUGAUGCCCUGCAUCUGGGGCGCGGACUUGGUGGUCGUGGCGAGGUUCCGCGCGCCCGCCGUGCUCAGGGACUGCUGCUGCCGG